UAAUACGUAGGGGUCAAGCGUUGUCCGGAUUUAUUGGGCGUAAAGAGCUCGUAGGCGGUUCAACAAGUCGGUCGUAAAAGUUUAGGGCUCAACCCUAAAAUGUCGAUCGAUACUGUUGUGACUAGGAUACGGUAGAGGUGAAUGGAAUUCCGAGUGUAGCGGUGAAAUGCGUAGAUAUUCGGAGGAACACCAAUUGCGAAGGCAGUUCACUGGACCGUAAUCGACGCUGAGGAGCGAAAGCUAGGGGAGCAAACAGGAUUAGAUACCCUGGUAGUCCUAGCUGUAAACGAUGGAUACUAGAUGUAGGAACUGGAUUGACGGUUUCUGUAUCGUAGCUAACGCGUUAAGUAUCCCGCCUGGGGAGUACGGUCGCAAGACUA
rnacentral:rRNA from 1 species